UGGAGACGGCGGCGAAAUGGCCGCCCGGCCGCGCCCAGGACGCCGAGGGUGCCGGCAGGCAGGCAGGCCGGCCCGGCGGCCGGGGGCCGUGUGCUCGCGGUCUCCCCGCCCCAGCCGUCCCCCUCCUGCACACGCUGCCCGUCCAGACCGUGCCGUCUGCACGCACGCUCCGGGCCUUGCGCGCCGCCGUUUUGUCUCGGCUUCCAGAGGCGCUCAGCCCGCUGUUUUUCCAGAGAGCGCCCUGGGGGGACUGCAUUACCUCAGCCCCAGCGCUGUGCCAGGCUGCUUCCAAACGUCGCACUAAUUUAUUUUAAAGGUCAUUUUCCAACGUCGGUUAUUGCACAGGAAUACUGGAAUCCUUGACUGGGUGGAACACCGGGAGUUCGUGCACAUAAACAGGUCAAUCGUCUCCCUGCAGCACUUAGCCAGUUCCAUGCUUCCCGUGAGAGCUGUCUGGUGUUCAGCAAGUAUUAACACUUCUGUGCUACGCCAGCAAUCUCCUCUUGCUGAAGGAUCGUGCUGAAGGAUCUGUAUGUUAUCUUCAUGCAUAGUGUUCAGAGCAUAUUGUGCUGUCAUUAUGGACGACUUACUUGCAUUGUACUAAUAGCUUAGCACUUACACAUCUGAUGUUGUCAGUAUAUACCCACAGACACCGUGAAAUCCAAGCUUUCAGCAAACUUGGAGAUGCAUACAUGUGUCUUUGCCUUCCAGUUCAGCUUUUCUGAGUGCAGAGAUUUUUCAACAUAUGAGUCGGCUGCAAUAAAGUUUAACUAACAAGUGGAGGUCUCAGAAAUGUAUCGAAGUUCAAAUCUUCUGACAUACUGCAGGGAGCUGGAUGGGGCAAAGCGGCUAUGGUGCUGAUUUCUGAUGUCCUGCCAAGAACGUAGGAAGGAAAGAAGGACAGAAGAUUUAGAUAGUUAAUGUUUGGAUUUGUGUGUAGUUAGUUAUACUAACAACAUGUAGCAAGAUUUGUUCAAUGAUGUGCAGUUUACAUCUUUUGGAAGAUGGGAACAAAGUAAGAUGCAUAACAUGUUAAAGACCUGGUCACUGAUGAUAAGAAACAAAUGAUUAACUGGAGGUAAUUCUCAGACAAAAAGUAUCACAGAUUAAUUAAUUUCGUAGAGGAAAAUUUCCACUGAUCUUCAGUAUGUGCAAAAUGACUCACCUAACCAAUUCCUUUUUUACAAGAAUAUGAAAAUAUCACCACUAUUUUGCCUAUUCGAAAAGUAUUUAUUUUUCGUUAAAUUCAUAACCUGUCUCUGUUAGGCUAGGGAAUUAGUGAACUCACUGUUGAUGCAAAUGACCUGUGAACCCUUUCCUCUUAGGUUGUUGCUUGUGAGAAUUUCAUCCACUUUUUUUUCCAAGCUAAAAAUACUUUUUUAACUACCUGUAGGCAAGAGGCGUUUAGUGUUAGUUUUUGGCAAGCUGUCUCAAGUUGCUUUUUGUAUCAUAUAAAGGACUAAAGCACCCUCCUAAAACUUUGGACACACAAUUGAAGGUAAAUUUAACAGUAGCAAGUAAAGUUGUUACUGCCUCAAGCAAUCUGCGGCAGCUGUCUCUCCAAGAGUAAUCAUAGUAUGCCAAAUAAGUUUUAAGUGGGAUUUAAAAUAUAAAUGCUCUGUAGCAUGUUAAAAGGUAAAACACAUUAAUGUGUUUGAAACAAAUCAUUAAAGAUAUAUUUUCACUGGACAGGUUGAACUUUGGAAAGGUUAAAAGCUAGUAUAUUAAAUAAAUGGAUAGGGAAAAGGCGUGCAGCAGGCUAUCAACAUGUAAACUGAUGGCAGUUACACAUUAAACAAUUAUUCACCUGCCCAGGUAUCGUAGUUAACAGAAACUUCUCGUUAACAGAAACUUCUUCUUAACAUUCAAGUAUAUCAUCUUAAUAUUGUUCUUUGUUGGCUAGAUAAUUUUGUUUUGAAUAGCACACCAUAUCCUGUUGGAUUCCUGUUUCAUAAAGCCGAUGGUUGCCCAUCUGGAAACAAUAGAGAUUCAUAAAGUGAAGAGAUCUUUGGAAACUGCCUGGAGGAGUCGAAUGAGUCACACUGACAACAUAAAUUGUUGCCACUAGCACUGUGUUUUACAAAACUUUUCAUUUCAUUUGUCAUGAGUGGAAAAGUGACAAUAGUAGAGACAGUGGAAAAGGUGUAAGUAAUGACUGGGAAAGCUCUUCCCCCUUCCCUUCCCAUCCUCCUCUCCUCUCCUCUCCUCUCCUCUCCUCUCCUCUCCUCUCCUCUCCUCUCCUCUCCUCUCCUCUCCUCUCCUCUCCUCCCCUUCCUUUUCCCAAGGAAACUUUAAACAUCUCACUGUGAUUAAGAAUUCCUCUAUUUAAUCAUUUUAGCAUCAUCCCAACCUGGAUAAAAGUACAUGCACAUACAAAGAUGUGCACAGAGGUUAGUUUUUAUUGACAACAAAGGGAAUGGCAGCCCUUCCCUGCUUUCAGAAGUAGUCGCAGUGACUACAUUAAACAGAAAUUAAAAAGAAAUUGAAAAGAUCUGUGCAUGUUUUACCUACAAGAUAGCAGCACUGGAACAAAUUGA